GGAUUGUGGCUCAGUGGUUGAGUACCUGCUCAGCACUUAUGAGGCACUGGGUUCGAUCCUCAGCACCA
rnacentral:tRNA from 1 species